rnacentral:rRNA from 1 species
UACGAGUGCCCCAAGCGUUAUCCGGAAUUACUGGGCGUAAAGCGCGUGUAGGCGGUUGCCCAAGUCGGGUGUGAAAGCCUUGAGCUCAACUCAAGAAAUGCACUCGGUACUGGGUGACUAGAGGACCGGAGAGGAUAGUGGAAUUCCCAGUGUAGUGGUGAAAUACGUAGAGAUUGGGAAGAACACCAGUGGCGAAGGCGGCUAUCUGGACGGUUUCUGACGCUAAGACGCGAAAGCGUGGGGAGCAAACAGG